CUAAAGCCCCCCCUCCUCGAUCUCUCUUUCUGACUCUCUCUCCCCAUCUCAGUCUCUCGGUCAGAGCAGUUUGUUCGGCAGAGGGGUAUAACAGAGUAGAUUGCGCGUUUGCUGUGGCAUGUGUGUGUCCAGAGCAGCGAUCGAAGUGAAAACGGAGAGAGGAAUAGACAGAUAAGCAGAUAGAAAGGGAGAGAGAGAGAGAGACAUCCAGAGGCAGGACUGAGCGGACUGAGAGAAAGCAACACUCCUCACCACCGCAGUUGGAUAGACAGAGAGAUGCUAACAGCCUAACAGAAGCUCAUCACAUUUCUUCUACAUCCCAGCCACAGAAAACCACAGCUGUUCUAACAGGCUGACAUAUAACUGAAGACACAUCCAGACGUCUCAUCCACUUUGCCAACAUCCUAACGGGAUCUGUGCAGAGCCUAUUCAGGAUUUGGUGGUGAAGAAACCAAAGCCAUCUCCCAGGAGCAUGUGUAAAUCAACGCUCUAUCAAGUAUACACAGGGUCCCUUCUUUCCGAGCAGUUGGCUGUACAUGGAGACCCCAAGUUGGUCAGAAACCAAGACAGGAAGCGGUCUGUUCAAACCGGGAACAAUUGCUCUGUUUGGUAACGUGGUGUACAGCGGACUGUUCAACGAGCACUUCUGGCACUUCGGGGUUCCCCUCGUCACCAGACUGGGCAACCAAGAGGCCCCAGCUCCCCCUGAAGCCAUGGCCCAACCCUUCCCACCAGCCCAGUACCCCCCUCCACCACAGAAUGGGAUCCCAGCCGAGUACGCCACGCCCCACACCCACCCAUCGGCUGACUACACGGGACCAAGCACGGUGGCUGAGCACGCCCUGACGCUGUACACAUCGACACACACACAGAGCGAACAGCCGGGAAACGACAGCAACACCCCCACCCUCACAGCCAACACAGUAACACAGGCAGAGGAGGUUGCACAGACGGAGGGCUCCCAGCAGCUCCACCUGCUGCCCAGUGAUUCGUCAGAGAAGCAGCAGCCCAAGAGGUUACACGUCUCCAACAUCCCUUUCCGUUUCCGAGACCCUGACCUCCGCCAAAUGUUUGGGCAAUUUGGCAAGAUUUUAGACGUGGAGAUUAUUUUUAACGAGCGAGGCUCCAAGGGCUUUGGGUUUGUAACAUUUGAAACGAGUGCAGAUGCUGACCGUGCACGGGAGAAACUAAAUGGUACAAUCGUAGAGGGACGCAAAAUAGAGGUCAACAAUGCCACAGCCAGAGUAAUGACCAACAAAAAGGUGGCAAAUCCUUACACAAACGGCUGGAAGCUGAAUCCAGUCGUUGGAGCAGUAUAUGGUCCUGAAUUUUAUGCAGUGACAGGGUUUCCAUACCCCAGUACAGGAGCAGCCGUGGCCUAUAGAGGGGCCCAUUUGAGAGGCAGGGGUCGUGCCGUUUACAACACAUUCCGCACUGCACCCCCCCCUCCACCUAUCCCUGCCUAUGGAGCUGUGGUCUACCAGGAUGGCUUUUAUGGGGCAGAAAUAUAUGGAGGGUAUGCCGCUUACCGAUAUGCCCAACCAGCUGGUACUGCUGCAGCUGCGUACAGUGACAGAUAAAACACUCGUCCCCAUUUUCUCAUAAAUUGAAACAGUUAUGGCAGAGUCUAUACAACAGCAGACCCCUACCACCAUACGAUUGGUCCUGCAGCCACAUACAGCGUGGGCACUAUGUAAAUAAAAGAAAGAUGAGACUGAUGAGUACAGAUGGACAUCAACUAAAAAAAUGAAGAACAACGCAGAAAGACACAAGACACAGAACGACACAAAAAAAAGAUCAACUAAAACAAAAAGAGCAGAAUUAUAAAGGAGCCCUUCUAUCAAGACUGAAUGGGAUCUGAAAGGAUGGAAGGAGGAUGUUUGUGGGCCUGCUCUGAGGCCAGGGCCUGAACCAUUGAGCCUGUAGUCCAGGGGGAGGGGAUCCUGCUGGCUCUGACCCCUGAAAAACAAGCCUUGCUGAGUGGAAGAGACCAAUUAGAGAGGUCACCAUAAAACAUUUUAUUUUUGUAAACUUUUUUAAGUUUAUGAUUUCCAAAAAGAGCAAACACUAAUGUACAUACAGUAUAUACAUAUUAUAUAUUAUAUGUGUGUAAUAUAGUAAGUAUAAAAAAGAAAAACUUGGGGAAAAAUGUUAUGUGUCUUUGCAAUUUAGAAGAAGGAGGUGAGGUGAGGAGAUGCCAUCUUCCCCCUGUCUUCUGAUUGUGUCCCUCCACACCCCACCCCCCUCACCCCCUGCUGUAUGGGGUAGGGGUGUUGGAGAUAGUGCGGACUUGGUGUGUGUGUGUGUGGGUGUGCGUCGAGGGGUGGGGGGUAGCUGGUCCAGCAGACAUUUCACUAUGUGAUAAUAUGGAGUAGUCUUCAGAUAGUCAGAUAGUAAAUAGAUAAGCAAAAAGCUUUCUGAGCCUGUCUUCCACAAAUGGACUGCAGUACUGUAUUUGUUACGCUGGCUAGUUUUGUCCAGUAGUCUGCAUUUUGUAGAUUCCAAAAAAAUAAGCAUAUGAAUUAUCCCUACAGGUCUGUGCAAAUGGAGAUAAGAAAGGAUGGAAAUGAUGUGAUUAUUUGAUGAGUGCACAAGCUCAGCUGAAGAGCACAGUGAGAGUUGAAAGGUCAGUAGUGGGUGAUGUCUGCUGGAGGCCUGGCAGCCCCUGACAUCACUACCAAACAUGUCAUUGUAGUGUUGUGGUUUGAGGUGGCUGUGCUGUGUAGUAAACUGCUUUUGUACAUUGUGUUGGGUAGGGGAGGGUAGCGAAGGGUAGGGUAGGGUUGGGGUGGGUGGAACAGGCAGUCUGAGGGAAAGUACAAGUUAGUAACAUGGAAGCUGUCUGCUUCGAAGCGUCACAGGAAACUCUCCCAUCCAUCUUUGAACACUACCCUUGCCUUCCACCGCUGAGGACGGAUGGUGGGAUGAAAGGGGGAGGGGAAGGGGGAAGAAAGUUCUAUAUGAAGUUUAAAAAAAAAAGGUUCAUGAACAAACAAAGUUUUCCUAAGAGUCUCUUCAAACCUUUCUAUUUAUAUGGAUCUCUACUUUAGCGAGAUCCUUCUAUAUUUAAACGUACUAAUAACAUGCUGUCAGGCAUGGUCGGAGAGUCAAUUGUAGCCAUUUACUAAUGUUGUAUUUAUUGUAUUACCAGUGAGAAGAAAAAACAUUUAUAUAUGAAUAUAGAUAUAUCUAUUUGUGAUCUGCAACUCUUGGACAUAAGUUUGCCUUUGAUUUUCAACUUUCAUGCAGGAUUCAAUGCACUGUCGAUGUAUGAUGAGGUUUCUACUUGUGUGAUGUUUUAUUCUGUUGACAUUUAUUUGGUUUUGUUUCCUUUCAGUUCAGCUACUGAAUGUAACUUCAAAAACUCUUAAACCUUUUAGGUAGAUGUUGUUGUUUUAUAUAUACUUAAAAAACAUACCGUACUCUGUAAAUUAUAUACACGUGUAAAUGAUAUAGCAAAAUGUUUCUGAUAAUAUGCUGGACUUCUUCAUCUACUGACCCAGAUAGACUGGAAUGCCAUGGCCAAAAAAAGAAAAAGGAAAGAAUGAGAAAAGAAAAAAAGAAGUAAAGAUGCGGGAAGCAUUUAAAAGGAACACCAGUGCCCUGCAACCAGUGGGAAGCCAGUGGGAGAGACAGAAAUGUGUAAUCAUUGUUCUCAGCCAGGCUUUUCAAAUUUGAUAAGAACAAGGAGACAUGGGGCGGUCUGUCCUGUGUGAGAGAGAAAGACACAGAGAGGAGGCAAAGAUUUAAAAAAAAAAAUCUUAAAUAUUGAUUUUUCUCCCAUUUUUUUCUCGCCUCCUCUCUCUCUUUGUCUUUCUCCCUCGAAUCUUAGCAUUUUCAAGGUGCUGUGGGUGAGUGCUAUGUGAGGUUGAGGAAGAGAAGGAGGAGGUAAAAAAGGGGGCAUGGGAGGGAGGGGCUACAGUCUCCUCUGAGGUACAUGGGGUGGACGAAAUAAAGGAAACUUCCAACAGUAUAUCAUAUUGACAUCACAUCCUAAAGAAAACCCGUUUAAACGUUUAAAUGUCCACUUGGCCAAAACCAUGCAGUUUCUCAUGCAAGAUCUUUACGUCUGUACACAACAAGUUACUGCAGCUUACCAGUAUAAGAUCAGGUGACUUAACAUGUUAAAAGUGUGUUUACACAUUUAUGUUGAUUCAGAAGGGAAUUCCAACUACUACUAUUAUUAUUAUUAUUAUUUGACAAUAGAGUGUCAAAUACAGUAGAAAAAGAAGAUGAAAAAACAAAACAAGGGGGUGUUAUUAUUAUUUAUCAAUUCAAUGCAUAUAUAUCAAAUUCUAUCAACUCCAGAUUUAUCAGCCCUCAGUGGUGUACUUGACAUUGACCAUGAACAGAUGCAAGAGCCAUGUAAGAGCUCAUGAGCUGUUCUGACCCCAAUCAACAUAAUGAUUAAUGAAAUCAUUGAUUUGUUACAUGUCCAACAGAAAACUACUCAGAGGUCUGUCAUCUGCAGAGCUUUCCACCUUAAAGGCCACACCAUAUUUACCCUCAUUUUGCUGUCUCUCCAAGGCUUGGGUUUUGUUUUUGUUUUUUUACCUAACUCUGGCCGAUGCUUCCAUUGUGUGUGAGGGUAAGCUAAUACAAUGAUCUUCUAGUCUUGACUUGCCAGCCAGCUGAAUGUACUGUAGCUCAGUGUAGCUGAAUGAAAGCAGCACAAGCAGGUGCUAAACAUGGCUGUGAACAUGGUGGCCUUCAUGACAGGUAAUUUUUUUUUACCAAAUGAAACAUUUUCAUUCUUGGUGUACUGUGAGUUAAAACUCAAUAGAUCAAAAAAAUAUUUAAAUUUAUCCUUUAUUUUAACAAACUGCUUGAUUGUAUUUUAAAGCUGACAAAUUGCUUACUGACAGUGUAGCUGCCUUUACAGUUGUGAUUCAGUUAUUCUGAUGUUGAAGUACCUUUGUUAUGUCAUGUUUCCAUCAUUUUUUCCACCUCCUGUAGAGCACAGUGUGUAAUGGUGUGAUUGGAGCAACCUGAGGUCCUCCUGGGUUGGUGACCAACAUUCUGGAGGCCUUGUUGAUCUGAGACAGGGAGUACCUGCUACGAAUUUAGAAAACGUAAUUCACUGGAGAAUGUUCAAUCUUCUUCUCCUUCUCCUCCUCUUCCUCUUUUUCUUCCUCGUCCAAGUCAGAUUCACAAAUGAGCGAGGACUCAGUUCUCUGGUGUUUCAGUCAAAUAGAUUUCGCUUCUGUGUAAAAGAAUUCAGUGAUACCUCCCAUGUUGCUGCAUUUAUUUCUCUCUCAGUUGUUCAAAGUGCAUGUGGCACAGUGGACAGGACGGUGGCCUCAUACAUUACAUGACCGUUCUCUGGAUGGAUGUCUCAAAGCUUCUUCAAAGACUGAGACUAAAGGAGUGUGUGUGGGUGCAUCCAGUGGACUGACUUUUUAAAAAUGCCUUUCCACCACCAUUACUUAGCAAUCCACUGCUGAGCUGUUUAACUGGGAUAACACACCUGCAGUGGGACGAGGCAACUGAGAUGGGUUGCAAAAGACUAUAAGACAGAAUAAAAACAGACUGGGACUACAGAAAACAAACAAACAAAAAACUAAUGAAAAACAACUAACGAUGUCAAUCUUAGCAGAGAUCCAGGUCUCCUCAGAUCUCUGCCUUGUUCUUCUGAUUCUGAAAUUUUCUGUUCUUUCUGUUGUUAGUUAAAGACUUUUGUCCUGUUUACAUGUACUGUAAAUGCUGUCCAUCCAUUACUGGUUGGAGAGAUUAAAAAAAGGUGCGAAGCAGCUUUCAUACUAGCUCUGGUAUUCUCUAUGCCUGAUUACCGUAACCCUGAGAAAACCAUUCUGUUCAAGCUAGCAUGUCCUCCUUUACCUUGAUCCCUAAGUCCUUCCAUCCUUGUUCCAACCAGAAAACCCUGCCUUUAGGGAAAAAAUACUCACACCAUAGCAAAUCCCCAACCCUUUUCACCUGCUCUUCAGUACACAUACAAUAUGAAAAAUCCUUGAGCUUCCUACCAAAACCUAUAUGGGUCUUCUGCAAAACUUUCCCUAUUUCUUUAUAUUGCGUAUACCUCAGAUGCAAGCCCUAAAGCAGCUAUUAUUCUCUGAAACCUCCUGGCAACCAGACCUCAUUCAUCCCCCCUUAGUGUAGCCCAGCUAGAGCCCAACCCAUAAGCCAAAACCACACCUACCUCCCCACCUCCACCAUAAAGACAACAGUUUGUUUAAACUAAAGGACACGUAUGAAUUCUUCCCACACCAGCCCUGAUUGUGCAUUCAUCUGCAGUUAGUCUAAAACAUCAUAACAGCAUCUCUUUGUAAACAUGGCACAUUUUGUUUUAAUGAGACAUUAACAACCAUUAAAUUUGUAUAUUUGUCUAAUGUUUGUAUGAAAUCCUAUGUGAAGUGAAGGUUUGCAUGCUUUGCGUAACAGCACUACAAAUUUCUGUUUUUGUCACAAAGUUGUUUAGCUUUAUGGUACAUUAUUUGGGAUAUGAUUAAACUGUUUUGGUUAAGAUUAAACUAAGAUUAGAUUUUGAGUC